rnacentral:lncRNA from 1 species
CAGCACAAGAGCAGUGCACAGAUAAAAACAAUCAUGAGGUACAGGAUUACAGAAAGUCAAUAAAAGCACAAUGGAGAAAUCUGAAGACUUUUAUAGCAAAUCCUCCAGUGUCAAAAUGAACACAGAUAGCGGUGGGUGUGCUCGCAAACGUGCUGCAAUGUCUGUCACAUUAACAGCUGUGAAGAGAGUUCAGAGUUCUCCAAACCUAUUGGCCUCAGGUAUAACUGCUUACCAGGGAGAUAUUGCUCCUGAAUGGCUUUUCUAUUGUGUUGUGCGUUCCUGCAAUAUGACUGCAAGGAAGAGAAGGGUAACUGUAUU